CAGCCGUAAACGAUGCGCGUUAGGUGUAUCGGUGACCACGGAGUCACCGAGGUGCCGAAGGGAAACCGUGAAACGCGCCGCCUGGGAAGUACGGUCGCAAGGCUGAAACUUAAAGGAAUUGGCGGGGGAGCGACCACAACGGGUGGAGCCUGCGGUUUAAUUGGACUCAACGCCGGGAAGCUCACCGGAUAAGACAGCGGAAUGAUUGCCGGGCUGAAGACUCUGCAUGACUAGCUGAGAGGAGGUGCAUGGCGUAGUCGUGU
rnacentral:rRNA from 1 species